AUGCCGCUAUCGGACAAGAAAUUGCAUAGGAUUGACCUACAACCGGCGGUCGAUCGCCUUGCUGGCAAAUGCUCCGGAUGGAAGGUUGAUUUGAUUAACCUGAUUGGGAGAGUCGUUCUGGUACGGGUCGUGCUAUCUGCGAUGCCAACCUUUCAGAUGAUUGCAAUCCCGCAAGAGAAGUGGCUAAACCAGAAGAUUGACAAGAUUCAACGUCCUUUCCUUUGGGCUGGCAAGAGUGCGGUCUCAGGCAGAAAAUGCCUGGUGAAUUGGAAGUUCAUCUGCAGACCGACCACUUAUGGAGGGCUGGGUAUCUCAAACCUCGAGUUCCACAGCGCCGCGUUGCGCACGCGCUGGCUCUGGCAACAGGCCAAGCUCCCGGACAAGCCUUGGACAGGGCUGCCUUUCCCCUCAGAUAAGCUAGCCUACAACAUCUUCAUUGCAAGCACGGUGAUCACGAUUGGAUCGGGAGCCUCCAUCUCUUUCUGGCACAGCCAUUGGUGGCAGGGUACUCCACUAAGAGAAAUGUUCCCCCAGAUCUACUCACAUAGCAGAGGACACAAUCUCUCGCUAUUGGCGGCGCUGGCUGACCAUAAGUGGAUAACAUGCAUCAAAGCAAAUCCAACUACCCAAGUUUUGGCUGACUACAUAUGCGUCUGGAAUAUUACGGCACAAGUCAACCUCUGUCCAACUCAACCCAACGGCAUCCGAUGGAAGUGGACGGCUGAUGGUCAAUACUCGACCCGGACAGCCUACCACAUGAUGUUUCAAGGGCGAAUCAGAACCAACCACAACAUGCUAAUCUGGUCAUCGCGGGUGCCUCCCAAGUGCCAAAUUCACGCUUGGCCCGCAAUCCAAGGGUGGUGCAAUACUGCAGAUCAGCUCGCAAAGAAGAACUGGCCUCACACCCCAAUAUGCACUUUGUGCUAG
rnacentral:rRNA from 1 species